rnacentral:rRNA from 1 species
AUUGGACGCUGGCGGCAGGCCUAACACAUGCAAGUCGAGCGGAUGAAGGGAGCUUGCUCCUUGAUUCAGCGGCGGACGGGUGAGUAAUGGCUAGGAAUCUGCCAGGUAGCGAGGGAUAGCGUCCGAAAACGGGCGCUAAUACCCCAUACGUCCUGAGGGCGAAAGUGGGGAAGCUUGGGACCUCACGCUAUCACAUGAGCCUAGGUCGGAUUAGCUAGUUGGUGGGGUAAAGGCCUACCAAGGCGACGAUCCGUAACUGGUCUGAGAGGAUGAUCAGUCACACUGGAACUGAGACACGGUCCAGACUCCUACGGGAGGCAGCAGUGGGGAAUAUUGGACAAAGGGCGAAAGCCUGAUCCAGCCAUGCCGCGUGUGUGAAGAAGGUCUUCGGAUUGUAAAGCACUUUAAGUUGGGAGGAAGGGCAGUAAGUUAAUACCUUGCUGUUUUGACGUUACCAACAGAAUAAGCACCGGCUAACUUCGUG